GACGAACGCUGGCGGCGUGCUUAACACAUGCAAGUCGAACGGAAAGGCCCUGCUUUUGUGGGGUGCUCGAGUGGCGAACGGGUGAGUAACACGUGAGUAACCUGCCCUUGACUUUGGGAUAACUUCAGGAAACUGGGGCUAAUACCGGAUAGGAGCUCCUGCUGCAUGGUGGGGGUUGGAAAGUUUCGGCGGUUGGGGAUGGACUCUCGGCUUAUCAGCUUGUUGGUGGGGUAGUGGCUUACCAAGGCUUUGACGGGUAGCCGGCCUGGGAGGGUGACCGGCCACAUUGGGACUGAGAUACAGACCAGACUCCUACGGGAGGCAGCAGUGGGGAAUAUUGCACAAUGGGCGGAAGCCUGAUGCAGCAACGCCGCGUGCGGGAUGACGGCCUUCGGGUUGUAAACCGCUUUCGCCUGUGACGAAGCGUGAGUGACGGUAAUGGGUAAAGAAGCACCGGCUAACUACGUG
rnacentral:rRNA from 1 species